CGGACGGGUGAGUAACGCGUGGAAAACCUGCCGUAUACUGGGGGAUAACACUUAGAAAUAGGUGCUAAUACCGCAUAAGCGCACAGCCUCGCAUGAAGCGGUGUGAAAAACUCUGGUGGUAUACGAUGGUUCCGCGUCUGAUUAGCUAGUUGGUGGGGGUAAUGGCCUACCAAGGCAACGAUCAGUAGCCGGCCUGAGAGGGUGAACGGCCACAUUGGGACUGAGACACGGCCCAAACUCCUACGGGAGGCAGCAG
rnacentral:rRNA from 1 species